UGUGUGUGUUCUGACUGCUCCUCCUCAGUAAGUUCUGAGGUGGAGAUUUGAAGGCAGGCGUCCUACCAGAACAGUGCACAGUUCUGUGGGGUUCUGGCAUUGCUAUGAAGUUACCUCAUUAUUAAAACCUGCAGCGAACUCUUUUGAUUUCAGCCUUUUAAACUGUAUCCUAUUGAAGCGUGUUGCACAUUCCCCAGGAUGUAGGGCAGCAGAGAAGCCUGCCUUUCUGUGCAGCUGCUGUUUGUAGCACUGCUAUGCUGAUGACCUUUCUGUUUCCAGAACAACUAUUGAAUGGUCAGAAUCUCAUGACAGAGGCUAUGGAAAUCUUCAGUCUGUUAAAAUGGAGCACUAUGCAUUUAAUGAUUUGUCUCUCAAAAUUGCCUUUCCGUAUUCUGCCACCAAGGCAACUGUGAGCAUAUUGUUGUCAUCACGGAGAUAAGGUAAGUUACUGCUGUUUGGGUCUUGCCAGGUGGUUAACAGCAAGCCUGCAGUAGACAAACUUCAGACAUUAAAUGCUAAGUAUCUCUUAGACUAACAUGAAGAUUAUUCUGUUGCCAUCUGCAGGGUUUAUUUAAGACUUCAGUCAGUCAGUACGUAUGUAACUACCUUGGCUAAGAGGAAAGUACUUCUCCCUUGCAUUUUCUUUUUUUUCCCAAUAAUUUGUUCUGUGUAAGUAGCCUUGUUUCCAACUGGCAUGACAUGACUGUAGUAUGGGAGGAAUUGCACGCAUGGUGAAAAGUCUUUUGUGUGCAGAGCCAGUGUGUGGCAAAUCUACAUAUGAAUUUUGGAUGGUUUGGGAAUGUGGAUAGUGGCUCUGGGUAGAGUCAACUAGACUUGUUAGUUUAGGCUUUGUGCCAAGCAGCAGGAAUUGCAAAAAGAUUGGAGGAAUGGAAAUAAUAGGCUGAGGUGAAUGGACAAGGAGGAGAGGGGAGAAGGUGAUGGUGCCUGUGAGGUGGCAAUUACCUCAGCAAUAGAGCUGUUACGUAUAUUCUGCUUAAUGUAUGAUGUGUAGAGAGUGCUCCUCUGAAUGCCUGUAAAUCAAUUGCUGUUCCUAUAAGCCUGAUGUAGCUAGGUACUGUUAAUAAGUAGUAUCUCCAAAGAUUUGUACAACCCGAAGAAGAGUCUCAAGGUUAUGAACGUCUGAAUGUUUCCCUGUUGAUGCUUGUGCCCAUUGCUCUAUGUGGGAGGCAUAAGCUUUGAAGCUUCAGUACUCUGAAUUACCUCUUUGAGUGUCUAAGAGAGAUGGUCAGAGAACCUGCGUUAGUAACACAAACUAAAGUUACUCCUGACCAUAAGAGCCACAAGUGUUACAACUAGCAGUCAGAUCUCCAAGUCUUCAUCUGCUUUAAGAAAUGCUAAGAGGUGAAGUCGUAGUUUGCACUGGAGUUGAAAUGAUGCCCUGUACUCUGUGUAUGUCAUGUUCAGAUCAGCGUCAGUGUGGCUGAACCUUUAUUUUUUAUUUGUUUAUUUUCCUUAAGGCUUAUUCGUUAUGAUUGCCUGGACAGGAACCUUCAUCUUGUUGAUCAAGAAACACUGAUUAUGUGCCAGAAAAUGCUUUGUAUGCAAAAUGUGUGCAGCCAGCUCUCAAGUAGAGGGGAGGUAUGGAUCCAUCCAACGUAGAAGUAAUAUAUCAGGAAAGUUUCAGAAGAAGGCAGCGUAUUGCUUCCCCACAGAUAAGUUCCUGACCUCCACCUGAAAGCUCCAUACUGUGCUUCUGUACUCGAAGAAGCUUUUCACAAUACAGAAGUUCUUCAGUUAAAUGAACAGAACAUGAACUUGCCGCUGUAGUAUUUGGUGCUGAUUGCUUAGACAUGAGAAAGCCUUUCAGCAGGCAGAGUAGAAAUUUCUGUUAAGGAGUUCUGCAGAUCGGACUAGGCUUCUAGAUUUUAUAGACCUGAAUGCUUUCUUUACAAAAGGAAAAGCCCUGCCUUUUUUCCCCUC
rnacentral:lncRNA from 1 species